CCGCGCGUAGCUCAGCCGGGAUAGAGCAGCCGCCUUCUAAGCGGCAGGUCGCAGGUUCGAAUCCUGCCGCGCGGG
rnacentral:tRNA from 1 species